ensembl:lncRNA
CCGUCCUUCUGGGUGGAGCGAUGCGUCUCUGGAAAAAAAACCCACUGGAUUCACCUUCCAAUCGCCGAUCGAGUAUCCAGCAACUGUCUCUCGCACUAUGUCCCAACAAAGUAAAAAAACAACUGGAAAAAGGGAUGCAUGGAUCUGGCACACUGUUUCCUGACGCCGUGGAGCCAGCACCGAAGUCUGUGCCCUCUUAGACGAGGAGGACCCGGGACGUUCAAGUCCGGGCCGGUCUGGUCCACGGCGGUGGGAUUCAGUCUGACGAUCCGAAUCACCAGUGAGACGUCUGAGGGUGAGAGAAACACUAUUUUGUAAAACGGCCACGAAGGUUUUAAGAAACGCGUAAAAUAAAAUGAUAAAAUAGGUUAAGUUCGCCAAAAGGCCAAAAGAACUAAGUUUAGACCAGUUUCAGAGGUAGCCGAAAUUAUCUCGUGACAAAUUAUUUAAGAAACGCGUAAAAUAGGUUAAGUUCGCCAAAAGGCCAAAAAGAACUAAGUUUAGACCAGUUUCAGAGGUAGCUGUUAAAUACUUCGUAACAAAUUAGCGCGCAAAUGUCUAUCUGUGUAUAUGUGUGUAUGUGUCUAGAAGUAAGUUGAUUUUACAGCACAAUACGCUGCUGAACUACUUCUAUUUUAUUUGUUUUCUUUGUUGAGGCUCACGUACUGGUGACAAAUGAGAACGGUUGAGUUUUAUCUCGUAAAACUGAUACCGCUUCAUUUUUUAGAAGUGAAGUAGAAGGGCGUAUCAGCAACCACUCUGAAGUCAAGCGUGCCAGUGACAGCCCAGCAAAAUCUUUGACAAUGGGGAAUAAACAAGCAAAAUUAACACCUGAUGAGGAAUAUUUAGAAAAACAACAAACCGAGCA